UUACUUUACAGUUUCAAAGUCAGAGGAGC
rnacentral:piRNA from 1 species